rnacentral:rRNA from 1 species
UACCAGAGAACUUAGCAGAGAUGCUUUGGUGCCUUCGGGAACUCUGAGACAGGUGCUGCAUGGCUGUCGUCAGCUCGUGUUGUGAAAUGUUGGGUUAAGUCCCGCAACGAGCGCAACCCUUAUCCUUUGUUGCCAGCGGUCCGGCCGGGAACUCAAAGGAGACUGCCAGUGAUAAACUGGAGGAAGGUGGGAUGACGUCAAGUCAUCAUGGCCCUUACGAGUAGGGCUACACACGUGCUACAAUGGCGCAUACAAAGAGAAGCGACCUCGCGAGAGCAAGCGGACCUCAUAAAGUGCGUCGUAGUCCGGAUUGGAGUCUGCAACUCGACUCCAUGAAGUCGGAAUCGCUAGUAAUCGUAGAUCAGAAUGCUACGGUGAAUACGUUCCCGGGCCUUGUACACACCGCCCGUCACACCAUGGGAGUGGGUUGCAAAAGAAGUAGGUAGCUUAACCUUCGGGAGGGCGCUUACCACUUUGUGAUUCAUGACUGGGGUGAAGUCGUAACAAGGUAAGCGUAGCGAG